rnacentral:rRNA from 1 species
AUUGAACGCUGGCGGCAGGCCUAACACAUGCAAGUCGAACGAGUGGCGGACGGGUGAGUAAUGUCUGGGAAACUGCCUGAUGGAGGGGGAUAACUACUGGAAACGGUAGCUAAUACCGCAUACCAUCAGAUGUGCCCAGAUGGGAUUAGCGAGUGGGUUGGGUAACGGCUCACCAAGGCGACGAGCCCUAGCUUGACUUAGAGGAUGACCAGCCACACGGGAACUGAGCCACGGUCCAGACUCCUACGGGAGGCAGCAGUGGGGAAUAUUGCACAAUGGGCGCAAGCCUGAUGCAGCCAUGCCGCGUGUAUGAAGAAGGCCUUCGGGUUGUAAAGUACUUUCAGCGGGGAGGCGGUACCCGAAGAAGAAGCACCGGCUAACUCCGUGCUAGCAGCCGCGGUAAUAG